rnacentral:sRNA from 1 species
ACUUGGCUCUCGCCCUCCGGCCGGGAAGCAUGGGGCUUCCCAGGCUGGUCUGCGCCUUCUUGCUCGCCGCCUGCUGCUGCUGUCCUCGCGUCGCGGGUGUGCCCGGAGAGGCUGAGCAGCCUGCGCCUGAGCUGGUGGAGGUUGAAGUGGGCAGCACAGCCCUUCUGAAGUGCGGCCUCUCCCAGUCCCAAGGCGACCUCAGCCAUGUCGACUGGUUUUCUGUGAGUGCUUGGGCUCCUGCAAGAGCAGCCCGGGGAGGGAGGCUCUGCCCCUCUUGUAGCCCAGGACCCUUCUCCUACUCUGUUUCUCCUCCUAUUAGGUCCACAAGGAGAAGCGGACGCUCAUCUUCCGUGUGCGGCAGGGCCAGGGCCAGAGCGAACGUGGGGAGUACGAGCAGCGGCUCAGCCUCCAGGACAGAGGGGCUACUCUGGCCCUGACUCAAGUCACCCCCCACGACGAGCGCAUCUUCUUGUGCCAGGGCAAGCGCCCUCGGUCCCAGGAGUACCGCAUCCAGCUCCGCGUCUACAAAGCUCCGGAGGAGCCAAACAUCCAGGU